CAUUGAGUUGAAUUAUUAAACUAUGAUUCUUUUUUAUAUAUUUCUGAACCGUCUCUGAGAUGGUUUCAGUUCUGUUUCUUGAUCAGUACAGAAUCCAAGACAAUUAUAUACACACGUAUAUAUAUGUAAAAUCUAAGUUUUGAUUCUUGGUUCGAUCCAAUGUUCACUACCCUUUUGUCUUUUUGUCUGACCCAUAUAUUUAUGUCUUGAUGUUGAUGUUGAAAUCUAUGGUCGUGAAUGCUUCUUGGACCAGAUUUUUUCUUUUUGUCUUUAAACUCAGAAUCGUCAAAUGGGUAAUCUCAUGUGCCCGUAAAAACCAGUCCUUUCUGAGUUAAAGAUGGGAUUUUUCGUGAUGAUGAGAUGUUGUGAUUCCAUGGGACUUAUGCUCCUCCUAUGUGUUUUUGGUUUCUCGGUUUUGCCAACGGAAGGUGCUGGUGGAGAAAGUUUCUUAAAAGACUCUUCUUUUCCUUCUUUGCCAAGCUCUGUCAACGUUGGAGCUCUGUUUACUUAUGAUUCUUUCAUUGGAAGAGCGGCCAAACCCGCGUUUGUGGCUGCCAUUGAAGAAGUUAAUGCUGAUCAGAGUAUUCUCAGGAACACCAAACUCAAUAUCGUCUUCCAGGACUCAGACUGCAGCGGAUUUGUUGGCACCAUGAGAGCUUUGCAGCUAAUGGAGAACAAAGUGGUUGCAGCCAUUGGUCCACAAUCUUCAGGACUUGGUCACAUAAUUUCCCAUGUGGCCAAUGAGCUCCAUGUACCUCUCUUGUCAUUUGCAGCAACAGACCCGACUCUUUCUUCGCUUCAGUUUCCUUAUUUCCUUCGUACCACACAGAACGACAACUUCCAGAUGAAAGCAAUCGCGGAUUUUGUAUCCUAUUGUCGAUGGAGAGAAGUUGUUGCGAUCUUUGUGGAUAAUGAGUAUGGUAGGAACGGGGUAUCUGCUUUGGGUGAUGCUUUAGCCAAGAAACGUGCCAAGAUCUCUUACAAGGCUGCAAUAACACCUGGUGCAGGUAAUAGCUCAAUCAGUGGCUUAUUGGCUUCUGUUAAUCUGAUGGAAUCUCGCAUCUUUGUUGUUCAUGUGAAUCCUGAUUCGGGUUUGAACAUAUUCUCUGUCGCCAAGUCUCUUGGAAUGAUGGGAAGUGGCUAUGUCUGGAUUACCACUGAUUGGCUUCUUACAGCUUUGGAUUCAAUGGAACCGUUGGAUACCAAAGCUAUGGAUCUCUUGCAAGGAGUGGUUGCUUUUCGCCAUUACACACCUGAGAGUGAAAAGAAGAGACAGUUUAAAGCAAGAUGGAAAAACUUUAGAUCCAAGGAGAGUUCAAAAAGUGAUGAUGGCUUCAAUUCUUACGCGCUGUAUGCUUAUGAUUCUGUUUGGUUAGUAGCUCGUGCUCUUGAUGUUUUCUUCAGCCAAGGCAAUACAGUGACUUUCUCUAGUGAUCCUAAUCUGAAAAAUACCAACGACAGUAACAUUAAGCUAUCAGCACUUGACGUUUUCAAUGAAGGGGAGAGGUUUUUACAGGCCAUUCUUGAGAUAAAUUAUACAGGUCUGACGGGAAAAAUCGAGUUUGAUUCAGAGAAAGACCGGAUUAAUCCAGCUUACGAUAUUCUAAACAUGAAAAGUACAGGUCCACAGAGAGUCGGGUACUGGUCGAACCAUACAGGUUUCUCAGUUGUGCCUCCGGAGACAUUAUACUCUAAGCCUUCAAACACAUCUGCCAAAAACCAACGUCUCAAUGAGAUCAUAUGGCCAGGGGAAGUAAGAAAGCCACCUCGGGGUUGGGUUUUCCCUGACAAUGGAAAGCCGCUCAUAAUCGGGGUGCCUAACCGUGUGAGCUACAAAUACUAUGCUUCUAAGGACAAUAACUCGCUUGGUGUUAAAGGCUAUUGCAUUGACAUCUUUGAAGCUGCGGUUCAAUUGCUUCCGUAUCCUGUUCCACGUACUUAUGUAUUAUACGGGGACGGGAAAAGAAAUCCUUCAUAUGACAACCUCAUAGGUGAAGUUAAUGCAAAUAGUUUUGAUGUAGCUGUUGGAGAUGUUACAAUCAUUACAAACAGAACCAAGUUUGUAGAUUUCACGCAGCCAUUUAUGGAAUCAGGGCUUGUGGUGGUAGCUCCAGUGAAGGGGGCCAAGUCUAGUCCUUGGUCGUUCUUGAAGCCAUUCACUAUAGAGAUGUGGGCUGUGACCGGGGGCCUUUUUCUCUUUGUUGGAGCUGUCAUUUGGAUUCUUGAACACCGUUUUAACGAAGAAUUCCGCGGACCUCCUAGGCGUCAAAUCAUUACCGUCUUCUGGUUUAGCUUCUCAACAAUGUUCUUCUCUCACAGGGAGAACACAGUGAGCACGCUGGGGAGGUUUGUGCUACUCAUAUGGUUAUUUGUGGUGCUAAUCAUCAACUCGAGUUACACGGCGAGUCUCACUUCAAUCCUCACCGUUCAACAGCUAACAUCACGGAUAGAAGGAAUGGACAGUCUAAUAACAAGUAACGAAGCCAUUGGAGUCCAAGACGGUAGCUUCGCGUGGAAAUAUCUGGUCAAUGAACUUAACAUAGCUCCAUCAAGAAUCAUGCUGUUGAAAGACGAAGUAGAAUAUCUCUCUGCUCUUCAACGUGGUCCUAGAGGCGGUGGCGUUGCAGCCAUAGUGGACGAGCUUCCUUACAUUAAAGCUCUCUUGUCAAACAGCAACUGCAAGUUCCGUACAGUUGGACAGGAGUUCACCCGGACAGGCUGGGGAUUUGCGUUCCAGAGAGACUCUCCUCUAGCUGUAGACAUGUCGACUGCGAUCUUGCAGCUGUCCGAAAAAGGAAAACUCGAGAGAAUCCGCAAGAAAUGGCUUACCUACGACCACGAAUGCACAAUGCAGAUUUCAGACACAGAAAACUAUCAACUCUCGGUACAGAGUUUUUGGGGACUCUUCUUGAUCUGUGGCAUCGUUUGGUUUAUUGCACUCGCACUCUUCUGCUGGAAAGUGUUCUGGCAAUACCAACGGUUAAGACCCGAAGUGAGUGAUGAAGAAAGGACGAGCGAAGAAGCUGGUUCUUCUUCUAGACCAGGGAGAAGUUUGAGAGCGGCAAGUUUCAAGGAUUUGAUCAAAGUUGUUGAUAAGAGAGAAGCAGAGAUGAAGGAGAUGCUUAGGGAGAAGAGCAGUAAGAAACUCAAAGCUAGCCAAAGCUCAGCUGAGAAUUCGCGAUCAAAACAUUCUGAAACCUCCAUAGAGGCGGUUACAUAGAUAAGCAGAGAGUUACACAAUUUGUGUAAAAUGACUACAGAUGGAUAACAUUACUUAGAAAGUUGCAACCCCUUCACGUACGUACCUCUCACUCUUUCAUAUCGCGACCCGAAUCUAGGGUUUAAAGCAGUGUCGUCUCCGCCAUGAAAACACGGCGGCAGCACGUCUCCGAUGAUGAUGUAACCAUUUCCCGACAAAAUGCGCGACCGCAGACCUCAGCAAAUGGUGGAGAAAACGCAUUGGCCAUCCCAAUUGAUCUCGUUUGCGAGAUAUGCUCGAGGUUGCCGGCGAAAUCAGUAGCGAUAUGUAGCUGUGUGUCGAAGCUCUGGGCCUCCACACUUGGUCUUUCCUAUUUUACUGAGUUGUUCUUCAGCAGAUCAUCGGCUCGGCCGCAGCUAUUGUUCGCCUACCAAAAUCACGGCGGGUUCUUCUUCUUCUCCUCGCCUCAAAAUCAUCCCGAUGAGGACUCGUCUUCUGUUGUAGCUGCCAAUCGUCUUACGCAUUUCCCCUUUGAUAGUUACUGUAAAAUUGGUGGUAUUGUCCAUGGCUUGGUCUGUCUUGUAGAUAAGCGGAUCUCAAAGGGAAGGACAGAAACGGUGGCGGUGAUAUGUAACCCUAGCACAGGAGAAUCCUUACCUUUACCAAAAGUGAAGACGAUGAAACUUAAUGGGAGAAGCUUUAUGGGAUAUGAUCCGAUUGGUAAACAAUUCAAGGUAUUGUCCAUGACCUGGCCACGUUAUGGAAGAAGACUAACCUUGAUCGAGUGUAGUCUCCCCAAUCAUUCUGUAUAUGAUGAAACUGGAAUAUGCAUCAGUGGUGGUUUGUAUUUUCAAGCUUCGGUUAAUAGGGUUUCUAAGGUAAUUUGCUUUGAUGUAAGGUCUGAAAAGUUUACAGUUAUUAACCUUGAUAAAGGUAUGGUGUCUUGGCCUGAGCCAACUCUGGUUAACUACAAGGGUAAAUUAGGUUCACUUGAAGUUGAAGUGUCAGAGAUUGAGUAUAUGACAGUUACUGGAGAUACUAAAUAUUGUCUUCAGUUGUGGGUUUUAGUAGACGCAGAGAAACACGAAUGGUUAAAGCAUAGGUUCUUAUUGCCCACUUUGUGGAAGAAUGUAGUUGGGAAGUUACACGUUGUUGGAGUGACCGUACAAAUGAAAUUGUGUUGUCGCCGUAUUA